GUGCUUGCCUUGGCAGCACAUAUACUAAAGUUGGAAUGAUACAGAGAUUUUCUUGGCCCCUGUAUAAGGAUGACACGCAAAUGGGAGACUUAGGGAGGGACUAG
ensembl:snRNA U6 U6 spliceosomal RNA